rnacentral:rRNA from 1 species
GACAGAGGUCCCAAGCGUUAGGCGGAAUCACUGGGCUUAAAGCGUGUGUAGGCGGAGUGCUAAGUACCUUGUGAAAUCCCACGGCUCACCCGUGGAACUGCUUGGUAUACUGGUUCUCUUGAGCCACCUAGGGGCGAGCGGAACAAGUGGUGGAGCGGUGAAAUGCGUAGAUAUCACUUGGAACGCCAAUGGUGAAAACAGCUCGCUGGGGGUGUGCUGACGCUGAGACACGAAAGCCAGGGGAGCGAACGGG